UCCCAUAUGGUGUAGUGGUUAGCAUACCAGGUUUUCACCUGCUUCUGACAAACAGUCAAGAAGAAUCUGAACCACCCUGGAGCCCCGGGUUCAAUUCCCGGUAUGGGAA
rnacentral:tRNA from 1 species